CUACGGGUGGCAGCAGUGGGGAAUAUUGCGCAAUGGGGGAAACCCUGACGCAGUGACGCCACGUGAGUGAUGAAGGUCUUCGGAUCGUAAAGCUCUGUCAGAUGGGAAGAAUAAAAGCAGUGAAAAUAUUGCUGUUUGAUGACGGUACCAUCAGAGGAAGCACCGGCUAACUCCGUGCCAGCAGCCGCGGUAAUACGGAGGGUGCAAGCGUUGUUCGGAAUUACUGGGCGUAAAGUGCGUGUAGGCGGGUAAGUAGGUCAGAUGUGAAAUCCCUUGGCUCAACCAAGGACGUGCAUCUGAACCGCUUGUCUUGAGUGCGACAGAGGAGAGUGGAAUUCCCAGUGUAGAGGUGAAAUUCAUAGAUAUUGGGAAGAACACCAGUGGCGAAGGCGACUCUCUGGGUCGCAACUGACGCUGAGACGCGAAAGCGUGGGGAGCAAACAGGAUUAGAUACCCUCGUAGUC
rnacentral:rRNA from 1 species